UUAUUAAUCAAAAACUAAAAUUAAUUUAAAUAAUAUUUGGUCCUUUCGUACUAAAAUAUUUUAAAAUAUUGAUGAUAGAUACCAACCUGGCUUACACCGGUUUG
rnacentral:rRNA from 1 species